rnacentral:rRNA from 1 species
GACGUAGGGCGCGAGCGUUGUCCGGAUUUAUUGGGCGUAAAGGGCGCGUAGGCGGCUUGACAAGUCACUUGUGAAAUCUCUGGGCUUAACCCAGAACGGCCAAGUGAAACUGUCGAGCUAGAGUGUAGAAGGGGCAAUCGGAAUUCUUGGUGUAGCGGUGAAAUGCGUAGAUAUCAAGAGGAACACCUGAGGUGAAGACGGGUUGCUGGUCUAACACUGACGCUGAGGCGCGAAAGCCAGGGGAGCAAACGGG